ACGAGAGGCCCAAACGUUAUUCGGAAUUACUGGGCUUAAAGAGUCCGUAGGCGGCGCUGUCAGUCGGGUGUGAAAGCCCUCGGCUCAACCGAGGAAUUGCGCCCGAUACUGCAGUGCUUGAGGGAGACAGAGGUAAGCGGAACUGAUGGUGGAGCGGUGAAAUGCGUUGAUAUCAUCAGGAACACCAGUGGCGAAAGCGGCUUACUGGGUCUCUUCUGACGCUGAGGUACGAAAGCUAGGGGAGCGAUGGGGA
rnacentral:rRNA from 1 species